UCCAACAUGCAGCCUCCUGGUAAGAACUUCAAGCUUAGCACCCAUGCAAACUAAUGCAGGGAUGUCAGGGUUUAACUCAUUGGAUUAUUUCAGGUUAGCUGAAGUAACACUGUCAUAACAAUGGACGAGGUGCAUUUUUUGAACGUUGAUUGUUUUAGUUAAUAUUUACACUUGUUAUAUCUUGCAUCGCAUUGCCUUUAUAAAUGAAGAUACAAUCAGGAAUUUGUAAUGAGGCAUUUUUGCGCUCUGCAUUAUUUUACAGAUGUCGACAAAUGCAAAACAUCCCAAUUUAAGUGAGCUGAGCGCAUUUGCUAUGUACUUUUCCUGACCUCCAUAUUGUAAUAACUGGAGUGUUAUUUGCUGCAUAUCAUCUGUAGUCUGAAAAUAAUUAGUAUGUGAUGACUGUGCAGAAUGCUGCUGCGGGGUUUUACAGUAAGGAAGAGUCAAUGCGUGUGCUCAUGUAAUCGAUAGCUCUGUAGAUCUCCCACUUUCCCAGACUAUGGGACAUGUCAACGAGGAUCCCAUACACGUGCACGAUCAGAGCAUGUUUUCCUGUGCAAGUUUGGAAGGCAAUCAUUUAUACACGCUCGCAAAAUGUGUCUUGUAAAAAUUUAACAGUCGACCUGAAGGUAACAAGGUGCGGCGUCCUUGUCCUUUCCCUCUUUGCAACACCACCCCCCCCUUCUCCAUCUCACGGUACGUCCUGACCAUCAUCAUCCCCAUCACGAGAGCACAUGGAAGCGAUCAGAGGACGAGAGUCUGGAUUUUCUUUUCGGCCUCCCCCAUGUGGACAUCAUAGGAACUGCAUGCAUUGAGGCCGUUUAGAGGUAAAUAUGGGUGCUGUCGGCCUCCUGCAGAGUUUGCAAUGUCAUACAAUGUCAAGGAGGGCUUCAUCAAGGACAUAACAUUUGAAUACUGGACCAAAGUAUCAACUUGCUGUCAUGCCUCUUUGUGACUCCGGUAAUACCAAGUCGCCCUGUGCCCUCGUUCUCCUUUACUGAACUUGAACCCAGACAAGUGCAAGCAAGUCCCGGAGGACAGGUUUGAUGGGCUACUGUUAAUAGUUUUCCUGUGUGUGCAUACACAUACAGCAGGCUCCAAGAUGAACAUGAUAACAGCCAAACAUUGCCUGCACCUGAAACGGCAGUGUUUCCCUAAUGAAUUGCAUGAUAGUACACAGACAAACGUUCUACAACUAUGACAUCUCACUUUGUAUGAAUGAAUUCUCUGGAUGAGUACUAAUGCACGUACAGUUUCUACAGUUUUUUUUUCUCCCUUCACCUUUUAGCACUGUGGGUCAUAUCGAGUUCUCAGCAGGGAGAAUGCUGACACAGUGAUAGCAUCAACAAGAUGGUGCAAAGUGAUGACAAGUUUGCAGAAUCAGCCUGCCUGACGAGGCGAGAGGUCACGGGUGAUUGAAGCACGUAGUUUGUUAGUCAUGCCAUCAUCGUUAAGAAAUGAGCCAAGGAUUAGUUACCUCAAUCGUACAUUUUCAUGACAAAGUGCCCAUUCAGCUUGGGAACAAACACAAGCUCAGGCAUAUUUUGUUUUUGUUAACAUGUUUUCAUUUUUAAUUAAUUUGCAGUAUCAACAAUAACUCAUCUAAGCAUUUCUCUCAAAUGUUGGACGUAGAGGAAAUCAUAUGAAGAGUAUAGCGUAAAAGUAUAUACUCCUACCGGUCAUAUACAGUAUUGUUAACUUUGACUCAUUUCUCAAAUGGCAGGUCUUAGGUACACACUGCACAUUACUGGACUUUUUUUUUGUAAAAUUCACCGUUUUGCAACUUUGUCAUAUUUCAAAAUAACUACCACAGCCAUCUUUUUUUCAUGCCGUAAAUGAAAAUGUUAUUUUAGCGAUGAUACAAUGGCUAAUACUUCCUGGUUCACGGUGGGAGAUGAACAAAUGGUUGCUGUCAAGCGUUCCAUUGUUGUCAUAAUCACUCAAACUGUGGAUAUAAUUAUUUGGAGCUUUAAUUCAUUGCACCAUUUUGCAGGUCCUCACCACGGGCCCAUAUAACGAAACUCUACAUCAGGAGUGUCAAACUCGUUUUCACUGAGGGCCACAUCAACGGUCAACAUAAGGACUAUAAAUAUGAUUAUAAGAUCAUGAUAUUGUUAUGCAAUUGCCCAUGCAUUUGAUUAAUAUAUUUUUGACUACCAAAUUGUGAAGUAACAAUUUCAAGGUGUCAAAGCAGACAUUCAAGUAUUUCUUUUCGAGAAUAAAAAAUGCCGGGAGUAUCUUGUUGCAUGAUCAGACAGUAUUCAAGUUUAGAAGAACCGCACGCAGUACAAUGUUUCUGUUCAAAUGCAAGAAAUACAUUUACGAGGAAAAAGGUGCAUUAUUGACACAUUCAUCCCAGGCUUUUGCGGGCCACAUAAAAAGAUGCGGCAGGCCACGUCUGGCCCCGGGGCCUUCAGUUUGACACUUGUGCUCUACAUCCUAGGUCCUCAAUAGGCGGCCCGCGGUCCAUAUCAGGUCCACCAAAUCUUUUCAUUUGGCCUGCCGAACAUCACCUAAAUAAUGUAAACAGGGGUCACCAACGUGGUGCCCGCGGGCACCAGGUAGCCCCCCCACGACCACAUGAGGUGCUGCAAGCCUGCUUUUCAUUCAGGUUUUCAGUUAAUAAUGAAAGAACAGUAGAAAGAAAUGCAUUCUGAAAUACAAAAUGUGAGUUGUGGACACCAGCAUUUUGUUCAUGUUCUGGUAAAACAAGCAUAUUUGCUUUGUUUGGCUUUAAAAUAAGCUCUGAAAAUAAAUGUUACAAAAAUGAGUAGCUCUUGGCCAUUUUCAUUUUGUAAAAGUAGCUCUCACAAGGAAAAACGUUGGUGACCCCUGCUGUAAACCAAUUAAUCUAACUAGAGAAGUGCUCGUUCAUGCGGUAUUUCUUCCACAGUGAGGCGUAUGUGUCACAAUGAAGCAGUAGUAGAAGACAGCUCACAAAACAAAUAUGACGCUAUCAACUCUAAAAAAUAAAAAUUAAAAAAAAUUAACACUGAAAAUUUGACCUUCAACAGCAACUGAACUACGAAAUAUGCAUUACUGAACAUGCAGUUAGGAAACUGAUGUGUUCAUAACAAGUUAAAUAACAAGUUAAAUGCUGUUUCGAAGGAAUAUAACCUGCUGAAGCACUUUCAGACAAAACAUACAAAUUUUGAUGAAUUCCACCUGGUUUUCAACAUCCAGUGAUGGCAAACGGAAAUGAUCUGUCAGCCUUGUUCAUUGCGGUUUUCUCAAAAGCACCGCGUUCAGUACUACGAGCAAAGUUCUCCAACUGAACUCAUCGAUAAGUAGUACCCGGCUCAGCCCUAGUAACAUCCCUUGUCUUGGAAAUAACACCGCCGCCACAAUUGGCUGUCUUUCAAGCAGCUCUGUUUGUUUAUUCAAGCACAUUUUUACGUGCCAUGAGAGCAACGUCCCGCAACGGUGUGACUACCUGUUUACCCGUUGAGGUAAAGAAGCCGUAUCGAGGCAGCAAAGCCGGCAGCUAAGAUGAAAGUCAAGCGGCUAGCAAGGAAGUGGAGAUUAAAGCUUUUGGAAACUUCUGUUAUCAUAGGAAACUUGAAUUCACUACCGAGCAAGAUUGACGAGCUGGCAAGAACGUGAAGACCUUCAGGGAGUGCAGCUUAUCUGUGCUUCACUAAAUGGCUAACAGCUAGCGUCCCAGAUGCUAACGUGGAGUUAGCCGACUUCAGGACAGUCAGAGCGGACAAGAACACAAGAGCCUGUGGAAAGCGCAAAGAAGGUGGGCUUGCACUGUAUGUGAACAAACCGUGGUGUCAUCCUGGCCAUGUGAACAUUAAAAUGUCCAUCUAUACAGCAUUUUUAAAAAAUUGUUUUUUAUUAUCUGGAAAAAAACAGAUACCUUUUUUUAUGCCAAUAUCGGUCCAAUAAUAUCAGUGGGCUGAUAUUAUCGGACAUCCCUAAUAAUAUCUAUUUACUUUCUCAUCUGUUAUCUUAUUCAUUCUCACUGAACAAGCUAUCCACAAGCUGUACUAUCAAACAGUUUCAUUCUUUUCCAUUACCAUAGAAAAAAAUGGUAAAAUGGUUCAUGCUAAACACAGGAAGUGUACAGCUAUCAGUAAUUGCUGAAGAAAAGAUGCAGAGCAGGAUUAAAUAAGAUCAGCUUCGUCCUACUCCUUUUCAGACAUGUUGAAUUGUGCAAGUGUAAGCAUGUGAUGCUUUGUAACUUGUUUUGCAUGUUCAAAAUAACCCAAACCAUUAGGCUACCAUCUCUAUUACCAAGUGAGCAUAAUGUUGCAUUUUUCUCUUUGUUAUGUAGCUGAGUAGCCUUGUUCGACACAUUAGCUGGAAAUUGCUUUUGUAUUAUUUGUUUAAUCCUGCAGUCCUUACUAUUAUUUACUGUUUUACCAUGCCAAAAUGACAUCUCUGAUCAGGGUAAGUUAAACAACAGAGUAUGUGAGUUAACCCAAAGCCAUUUGUUUUGAACUCCUUCACAUGUGCUGCAUAUACGGUAUGAUUACUAACAGCAAAGCCAAAGAGAGGGAGCAUGUGUGCACCCAGGUAUGUGGUGGGGACCUGAACUGACUCUCUUUUGGGGAAGUUUACAUAUAAACACACUCAACAUGCAGGUGGAAAUAUGGGCCAGUGGUAAAUAAAUAUUCAUAACCUGGAGUCUGGGGUCAUUUUGCAAAUAAUGGAUCUUUUUUUCUCAGAAACCUGGACUUGUCUAUUCCUCAUAUGAAGAACGGGUGAUCAGAACUGAAACAAUGGUAAACAUUCACAUUGUCAGCUUUUUGAACAAUUUCUCACAUUUCAAAUUCUAAACCGUCACAACGUGGUCCACUAAAAAAGCCCACAAAAAUAAUGCUGACGUUGACAGAAAGGUAUUCAUUUAACAUUGCAGUUUUUAGUGUUGGAGAACUGUACCGCAUUUGGUUUGAUUGAUUCAGCUACAUGAGGGGGGCAAAACAUUAGAAACACCUCUGAGCAUGAUGUGGUGCAGUCCAACACGUUUUCUCUAUGGAACACGCAUAGUGGAAGAGCGGCCACAACAGAAGAAGAGGUCAAGGUCGAAAAGCACAUUCAACCUGAUGGAAUCAGGCUACAAUUGUGAAUCAUCUCAAUCUCAGUCCUUACGACUGGGAAAUUGGCUAUGUAUGCACAAAUCUGCUAUCUUUCACUUCUGAAAUGACACUCAUACGCUACACAAUACUCGUUUUCAAUACAGUUAUAUUAACAUAAUGCUUCAGCAUGUUCAGUAUCCAAGCAAGGUGACUGUUGAAAAGUCUCAUUCAAAGUCUCAUUUCAGCAAGGGUCCGCACUGCUCAACCUCAUUUGGUGCUCUUGAACGUCUAAUACAAACACACCACCGACAGGUCUAAGGCACAGCUCCCUCACAUUACUGGUCAGAGCCAUUGUGUUGUGUUCUUGUGUCUUUGUGUUAAGGAAUUGAGACAAUAUACGAUAUGCAAUGAUGACAGCCAUCAAAAUCGAUGCCUUAACAAAGACAGUAAUCCUCACUUUUGAUUGACACUGUCAAAGAACAAUUAACUGAACAAUAAUUGCUAUUGCGGCUGUAGUUUGCAGUGAUAUGGAGCCGCACUGUUUCAACUUAACCCAAAUAUUACAAACAAGUCUUUGGUGUGCAGUUCUACAGCACAGCAAACUACAACUACAAUCAUAAAUAUUUACUACGUAUAAAUUCUGUCAACAUCAGAGCGUCAUUUAGUGUUUGUAUUGGCUCUCGUUGGUACCUAACGACGCUCGUGAGCUGUGACAUUUCGUGACCCAAAUGUAGUUUUUUGAGGAUUAAAAAAAACCAUGUAGCAUUCAAACUGUUAUCCAGUAGAUGGCAGCAUAAGCUCACAGGAAAGAAAAAAAAAAGCCCACAUGCCACAAUACGUUUGUCUUUUGUGUGCAAUGUGUAUCUUUAUUUUUUAUUUUUCAGGUGAUGCUUUCAUUCUGUAAGAUUUUGUUGGACUGUUUGGUAAACGUCGGUUGGCUUUCAGGUCGUUACUCAAAUCGUUUCUUUCACAUAAUGCAGUUUAAGAGAAAACGCUCAGAACAUCACUGGCCAGCAGGUGGCAGUCUAUGCCCGUCAUUUUGGUGAAAGCACUCCAUCUCCAUCAUCAUUAUUGAAAAUUCAUAGUUUAGCGUUAUUAUUUUGCUGCAUAUAAAAACUCUAUAACUCUAUUCUAAUAUUUGAUUGAUUGAUUCAAAUCAUGAUUACCAUUUAUAACAUUUUACUAUUAGGAAAUGCUACUUUUAACAGUUUGUGUAUCUCAGAGAUACCAAGUUCGUCUUUUACCCCACAACAUUAGGCACACCUGCACCAGCUAAGGUGAUGUUAUAGGAGAUGUAUCAACAUGUUUGCCUUUAUCCAAAAACUGUUCAAGUUUGAUUGGACACUGCCAGAGAGGUAUUGCAGUGUGGGGGUACAACACUGCUUAUCUCUCCUAUGUUGCUUUGUUUGUUUGAUUUAAGGUGUUUAGGUUUAGAAGUUAAAAUAUACAGUACAUUGGGUAUUUUCAAUGUUUUCUCUUCUAUCGCCAAAUAUAUCAUCUUGUUCUGAAGACAAUCUGCGGUACUGUGCAUGGAGGAUGUUGAUGUUAUUGUUGCAUUUGCAGAUGUUGAUAUUAUGAAGUGGUAUAAUUUCAAAACUCGUUUUUUGAACAGUAAUCAAAAAAAUGAUACAUUGAGCAUUGUUUUCCUUGUUUUUUUAAUUCAUCAGACGGUGUGGUAACUUCACAGUUCACAUGUGACAUUUACAGGAAUUCGCAGUGUUGUAAACGCACAGUAAAUUAAUGGCAAAUAAUUACAUUACGUUCAAAGUAAAUGUGUAAAACUACAGGCAAUCGACUGAUGUAUGUACAACAGGGCACUGUAAUUCUGCAAUUAACUGUAAAACACUGGAAUUAACUGUAAACAGCUGGAAAGUCAUAACUUUACCGUUAAUUUAGUGUAUAGAGUAAAUGACUGUUGAGAUAUUACACAGCAAAUUACGGUAAAAGUCAUGCAAUUAUUAGCCACCAAUUUACUGUGAAUUUAGAGUAAAAAAGUUACAGCGUGGGAAUCAAAAUCCAACAUUCUUAUCAUUGUAAAAGAAGAAUUUUGGAUACAGCUUUUGAAUUGCGUCUCUUUUUGCAUUGCUCCUGUUCAUCACAACACCUCCUCUCAUGAAAAUAUCUCAGCUGGCGGACCAGGUACAAAGAGGGCGUAUUUAGCGGCAUUCAGGGAAUGUAAUAUUGGCAUUAUAGAUGUCUGCACAGAACUGCACCAAGAAGUUGAAAAGACACCUUUUGAUUAAUGUGAUGCUAUAAAACAUAUCAUUGACAGCUAGGCCCACAUUGCUCAUGGCGCACAGCAGCAUCUGCUGCAUUCCCUCCCCAUCCUUCAUCCGCCCAGCUCCAUCCCCUCCACCAUGAAAGCCGAACAAAUGUGCUGACAUUGACGCCGUCUCUGCACCCGGCCUAAUUUCAUUUCAGCCCCAGAGAGACGGCUAUCUUCAAAAGAUCUUGACAGACAAUUGUAUUUACUAUUUUCUUUUCACAAGCCAAUAAAGGCCGAGCAGUUAUUGCAUCAGAUUAUAUGAAAAAACGUUUAAUGAUUCCAAUUUAUAACUCUAGACUGAAUAAUGAUAGGGCUAAGAGCUGACAGACCAUGAUAAAUGAAGCCUCAUAUAAAACAUAUUUAGUGUGAAGAAUGGCUGGAGAUGAAUUGCACAGUGAUACAAACUCAUGAUAAAGAACAGUAAGAGCCACUAGAAGACUUGAUAAUGUGCUAUUCAUUUUGAAGUGAUUUUGCUGGUUAAUAAAAGAGCACAAAUUAAAAAUAUAUUUAUUGUAGAAAGACAUCUAGGAAUAUUGUCCCGUCGCUCUACAAGCUCACUCAACUGGAGCACUUCCUUUUCUUUACAUUUAAACUGACUUGUUCCGAAUCAUUGCUGACUGCACUUGUUUGCGAAGAGAAAGUGUCAGAAAUCAGAGUAGUUACAUUUGACUGGAGUUGCUGCUUCACGCAGGAAAGGUGUUUUCAAGAUAGCAUCAGAAUCAAAAUCGCAUUGAAAUCAAAUAAGAUGCUAUGUAAGGCAAAUGUGCUUCGUGAUGAAAGACCAGUAACUUACGGUUUGGUAAUAAUAUUUAGUCUCAAAGUAGGGACACAUUUAUAAACUUCCAUGUGGUACCACUUUGAUUGUUCGACCAUACUUUACAAGGCAUCAUGGUCAGACACACCCCUCCCCUUGUAGGCCAAUGUCUAUAAAUAAUAAAAAAAAUAUAUAUCAUAAAAUAUCUCAAAAGCCAACACACACCUUUGUUUUCUGAUUGAUCUAACAAAAUAAGUAAUCCACCCAUUUUGUCCACCAUAUACACCAUCAGUGCCACAGUAGCUGUGUCAAGGGUGACAGCCAAAGACAGACUCAUGCUGCUGUUUGGGUGCAAUUUAAACCCAUAACACAAAAAUGGAGGACGCGUGCAAUAUAUCACCGCGGAGACCUGUUUGGGGGAUGUCUCAAUAGCGUUACGUCAUACAUUUGAAAGUGAAUGAACUUCUUUUCUAUUGAUUUGAUCAAGAGGAAGUCCAUUUCAUCCUGUUUGGUAGUUUUGUAAGGCAAUGUAUGUGCAAAAGUCAGUCCUAUUUUCAUGACACUUCACAGGAGUCAUUUAAUAAAACAGUAAAUGCCGUAGAGCCCCACUUUACACGGGGGGGGUUACCCUGCAGGACCACCAGUGACUGUCUAUUUUUGUCACGGCCAAAUAUUCUGGCCCAUUCUUGUAGCUGACCCGAAUAUUUUGCUCAUGCUAAAAACUUUCGAGGCACAUUAGAAGGGGAAAAAUAUCGAACGGCAUUCGAAAGGUAUUCUAACUGCACUCCGAUUGUAAAUAUUUUUACGGUAUUCUCACAGCAUUCCAAAAAUUCUGAUUGCAUUCGUGGGAGAACCGAAACGGCAAGCCACUUCCAUUCCUGCCAGAAUGUCCCAAUCAUCUCUUGAAUGAGUCUGAAUGGAAUUUGGAACACCUCGUAAUCACGUAAAAGUCAAUUAUUUUCAUUUCCUAGCGUGUUUCUUGGCUACACCGCUUCCAGUAGUGUGCUUGUAGCCUUUGGGCUGUGUCAGACUUUGGUUUUGCCUGUCAGGGCCACCUAGCUGGUCCACAGUGACAUCAGCACUUUUCCAUCUCUCUGAUUGGUUGAUGAGAGCAAAACUGUUCCACAACCAAGUUACACUCACAAUGGCUGACUGAGUAGGAGAAGUUGUCAUGUCUGGUCAGGAGAUGUAUUUUAUUUAAAAGUUUUAUAUUUUUGUUAUUAGAUGGGGAUGUCGUAAGACUUAAAGUCAAAACAUCUGAACUACCUCUUUAAGUCCUACAAUAUUCCUCACACACUUAUUCAUCACAUUUAAAGUAUAAAAUGUAUCGGUACUCACCACUAAUGAAUGUUCAUGUAAGAUGAUCGAUGAACAGAUAGAAUCGGAGUAAGACAUCCUGUCAGGCGGCGUCGAACAAAAUCAGGGUCUGAUGAAAUGAAAGUGAGGUUAUGCGAGGGGGAGGUAACGUGUCUUCCUUUAAAUCAGGGGUCACCGACGUUUUUCCUUGCGAGAGCUACUUUUACAAAAUGAAAAUGGCCAAGAGCUACUCAUUUUUGUAGCAUUUAUUUUCAGAGCUUAUUUUAAAGCCAAACAAAGCGAAUAUGCUUGUUUUACCAGAACAUGAACAAAAUGCUGGUGUCCACAACUCACAUUUUGUAUUUCAAAAUGCAUUUCUUUCUACUGUUCUUUCAUUAUUAACUGAAAACCUGAAUGAAAAGCAGGCUUGCGGGCGCCUCAUGUGGUCAUGGGGGGGCUACCUACCGUUGGUGACCCCUGCUUUAAAUGGUCACUAUUUUUUUAUGACUUUUGUAGAGAUGUUGAGAGUUGCUAAAAAAAUAAAAAAUAAUAAAAAUAGGAUUGUAAAAGUGACUAUUUUGUUGUUAUUUCAUGUCUACAGGGUUCUAAUCAUGUCAAAACACGUAUUCAGAAAGUCAUAAACAGGUUUUGUAUGCUCUAACUACAAAAAUAUUCAGUUUAUUAAUAUUGAAUCCUACUUCAUGGAAAUUCACUUAUCGCAGUCGGGUUUGGAACCAAUUAACCAACAUGUUAACACGACAAAACACGCACCAUAUUGUACGCUAACUAGCGAAUGCACGUAAACCGAGACGUGAAUUUUCUCCGUUCACCAACUUUCACUCUAUAUUAAGCAUAACCAACUAUGUCAUAAAAGCAUAGCGGAAAUGGAGGUCAUGGGAAGUGUUUUGUUUUGUUACUGUGUCUUGUCUUAUUGUAUUCUAGUAAGGAGACAAAGAAAUAAAUGCAAAUACUCAUUAUUGUGUGGCAAACCAGCAAUAUAAACAAUAAAAUGCUGAACACUCGGAACAAUACCAGGGUGAUGUGCCUGGAGUGCAAGAGCGCCACCCUCGACCGUAUCUGCGGCCAUCCUACUUUUAAUUUUGAAUGAUAAAAGUGAAUCUCUGAUGAGGAAAUGUAAAUGAGGAGCAAUGAAAAACAUGGCAUUCAUUUAAUGGUCCUUGGUACAUGAGGAGGGAGGUGAAUUAGCUCAGGAUCAUGUUAACGCCUGGAGGACACACAAAACGGUGCGUAUUGUUUAUGCUUUAACGGACAUAUAGAAGGGUCAGAGGAUGAUUCGAUGAAGCCCAUCAGAAUAAGUGACCCUCAUCUCUCAUUAGGAGAGCUACAUUAAAAGGGGCUUCAGCAGUCUGUUGUUGCUAUAUGAGCACAUCCUUUAACACUGAUUGACACGGACCUCACACUUAUGAAGGCAUAUUGCUUAAAGCGCCACUCAGGACCACGCUAAUGCUUUUAGCAUGCACGCUACUCAUAUAGGGAAAAGUGAGUUAAUUCAUUACUAAGGUCUCCAUAGAUAUUUUGCACACAUACUUCUCAACUCCAAGGGAUUGGAACGCUGACUUGCAAUCAGCGUAAUAAUUGCUCACAGUGACAAUAGCUGAUGGUGUGGUUUUUAAAACAGGAACACCAUAACCAUGCAUUGAUUUAUUUACUUGCCCAUGGAGCGCUCACACAAUCCAUGGAAAAUGACAUCAGUCCAAGGCAUUUAUUUGAAAACCUUGCCAAAAAAAGGAAUGAACUUCUGCAGCAAAGGCCUCUAUCUUCUCCAAUUUAUUUAUCUACUUACCUCUCCAUCAAUCCAUCAGUCAAUCCAUUCAUGCAAUACCCACUUCUAUCUAGGAAAUAGGGAUGUAACAGUACGCCAUAAUCACAGCUGACUUUGUGCCAACUCCUUCCUUCUUAAGAGAAAGUAAGCCCAGCCACGAGUUCUGAUAUGUUGACAAUGGGAAAGAUCAAAACCUGCAAAGUAGAUUUUCUUACUGAACUCUGUCAACUCUGUGGACAGAAACAUCUGUUUCAAUUAAGAAGACAUCAAAGAGAAUGCAUUGCUGUUUUUGGACUAUGGAAGGACGGAAACUCCAAUACUGAGUUCUACAGAAAACCUACCUACAAACCAAUAACUUCUCUAGUACUCAACCUAGGGGUCAUCAGAACCCUCAAGGACAGUGCAGAGAAUAUCCUUACCACCGACAGAAGGGAAAGACACACAUUAGGAGGGCUCUUUCUAACUGUGGGUAUCCCAACUUGGCCUUUUUCAAAUCCGCCAGGAGAAGAAGGGCCACUACACCUGAGCCUGAGGAUAGAACCAGGAGGCGGAAUGUGGUGGUCCCUUACAUGGCUUGUUUGUCAGAAAAGACUCUUUGCUUAAUUGUCCCCAGCAACUAAGCGGAACUACGUUUUUC